rnacentral:lncRNA from 1 species
UGAUAUCCAUUUGACGUGGCUCUGUACCUAUACAUCCCAUUAUUGUAUUAUUGUGCUAUGGUAAAUGUUUGUAUUCUUGUAUUUCCUUUUUGCUAAUAUUACUUUUACUGUUUAGUCUGUUUUAGUAAUAUCCAUUUGACGUCGCUUUGUACUUACAAAUCCCGUCAUUGUGUUAUUGUGCUAUGGUAAAUGUUUGUAUUCUUGUAUUUCCUUUUUGCUAAUGUGCAUUGUCUAUAUACCUUUUUGUGAACAUUAGUUACAUAAGACGUGACAAUCUGUUCUUAUACAUCCCGUCAUUGUGUUAUUGUUCUAUGGUAAUUUUUUGUAUUCUUAUCUUUUACUUUUGCUAGUUAGCUUUGUCUAUAUGCCUUUAUGUUUUUUCUUUGUUAACAUUGCCAUAAAAGCGCGAGGUGUUGUGUACCAAUUCAGGAAAAUGGCUAUUGUUAUAUAAUAGUUCGUUUCUGUGUGGGUCAAAUUUUAGUGUUCUGUUUCUGUUGUGUCGUAGUUCUCUUAUUAUAGUUGAUUUUUUUUUAUUCUUCCCUCAGUUUUAGAUUGUAACCCGGAUUUGGUUUUUUUCACAAUCGAUUUAUGAAUUUCGAACAGCGAUAUACUGCUGUUAUCUUUAUUUACUAAGCAGUGGUCACAAAGAUUUCGACAAAUGUGGCAAUUGAAU